ensembl:lncRNA
AGCAUUUCUCACAGAGAGUCACCCAUCCAGAGACAGAAAUAAUAUUUCCUUUAUAUUUGAUACCAUGCAGAUUUGUGCUUUCAAGCAAAAUUAGCAAAGCGCUGGUUUUAAUUAAUUUCACCUCAUUCUUUGAAUGUCUGGCGCAGAAUUUCUCUGUCAAGACUUGAGUGUGCUGUGAAACUUGGGAAUUACUGUCCUGGCUUUGUUUGCAGGGAGUUUUUAGCCCCAAAUACCCCUGAAAUUUAUCACAAAAGGAACAUAACCUGCUGUUUUCUCUCUUUUUUUCUUUAGGAGAGAUUGUUUGUCAGUGAGGAGAGCGUUGAUGGAUUUCUAGGCACUGCUUUGUGCCCUUCCCCUUGCUCCCAAUCAGCCCUGGAAAGGCAGCCAUUAAUUGAAGUGCUGGAUGUUACUGAGGACAGAAUUCAAAUCAGGGUGGAGCCACAGGAACGUGAUGGACAAGGAACUCUUGGCAGCUCAGAGGGAGCCCUGGCCGGACAGACCGAGAGCAACUGCCCCGAAACAAAGGCAGAAACAAAGUGUCCUGCAGCCGAGGGAGGUGCUGCGGGCCCGGGAACAAUGGGAGCGGCAGCCGGCUGUGCUUCACCCCAUUGUUCGCAGCCUGAACCUCCUGCCUCCAGCUCAGCCCUUCCCGGCGGGUCUGCGGGAGCCCAGCCCGAUUUAGAAAGUGCUGCUGCAGCAGGAGGAGCGGCCACAGCCCCGGGAGCAGGGGCAGGAGAGCGGCAGGGGGACGGGGACGGGGCAGAGUGCCCCAUCCUGAGGGAGGUGAGCCCUGAGAAGGGCAGCGAGCGCGUCCUGUGCGAUCAGCACACGCACUGCCCCCUGCACUUCCACAGCUCCCUGCUCUGUCAGCUGGAUUAUUUUCAUUGUUUUAGCAUUUCUUUCUCCUGUUUGAUGCUUGUUCUGACUCCCACGUACUGGUGGGUGACACGGAGGCCGUGGGUUCCCACUGAAACUGUUGCAACACCAAAACUUCCCAUUGUUAACAGUUUAUCAAUUCCCCAAUUUGUUGCAAUAAUUUUUACUUGUAAGAAAAGUUGCAGUUGGAGGUGAGCUCCUGGAAAAAAAAAAUGUAUCUUUAUUGUUUACAUAAAUUUUUUAUUCUCUUCGCACGUUUCACGGAUUAUUUGUAUAUAUCCUCAGCCUAAUGGCUCCCUCGGGAAUUGAGCAGUAGUCAUCAUUUUCCAAACCUUUCAUUUUGUGAUAACUGCAGGAUUAGACUCACAGUGAUUCUUAGCAAUCAAAUGAAAUUUCUAAUUACCCGGAGAAGUUCUAAUUAGUCUCCUAGAAAUAAUCAACAUUUAUACCCUGUAUUCCAUCCUAGUGCUGAGCCUCAGAUCUGCAGCACCCAGAUAUCCCCCAGCUGAACAAAUUCCAUUGCACAAGAACAUCCUCUGGGUGCAUGUCUGCUCUGAAGUAUUUACAACUGCUGAAAUGGAUUCUCUUUAGCCAGAUUAGAUUUAUUUUUCUCAGUUUCCCUCGAGUGUCAGCGUUUCUCACCUCCCUAAAGCAGAAUAACCAGGAGAACACAUCUAAUAAUAAACUUCCUGUUCCCCUUUCUCUCUGCUGCUGA